AACAAACGCUGGCGGCGUGCAUAACACAUGCAAGUCUAACGGGAAAGCGGGCUUCGGCCUGCAAGUACCGUGGCGAACGGGUGAGUAACACGUGGGUAAUCUAACCUCGAGUUUGGGAUAACCUUGCGAAAGCGGGGCUAAUACCGAAUAAGACCACGCCUGGUUUGCCAGGUGCGGUAAAAGGCGGCCUCUUCAUGAAAGCUGUCACUUGAGGAUGAGCCCGCGGCCUAUUAGCUAGUUGGUGGGGUAAUGGCCCACCAAGGCGACGAUGGGUAUCGGACCUGAGAGGGUAUACGGCCACACUGGCACUGAGAGACGGGCCAGACUCCUACGGGAGGCAGCAGUGGGGAAUUUUGCGCAAUGGGGGCAACCCUGACGCAGCAACGCCGCGUGAGUGAUGAAGGCCUUCGGGUCGUAAAGCUCUUUUAGUGGGGAAGAAUCCCUUUUUGGCUAAUAUCCAGGGAGGAUGACGGUACCCACAGAAAAAAGUUCCGGCUAACUACGUGCCAGCCGCCGCCGUAAUAC
rnacentral:rRNA from 1 species